rnacentral:rRNA from 1 species
GCCAGAGCCAUAUCACCCUGCAGUUCUUGCCUGGUUUCCCACUGAAGCUAAACAGGGUUGAACCUGGCCAGUACCUGGAUGGGAGAACUCCUGGGGCAAACUCAGGUUGCUGCUGGAA